rnacentral:ncRNA from 1 species
UAAACGGCCCUUUUUAGGGCCAUCUAUAUAUAACAGAAAAGGUCU